rnacentral:sRNA from 1 species
GCUAGUGAGUGAGAUUUGGCUGUGGCAUCUGUCACCCCAUCCUGUUUCAGACUGACUCAACUGAUGUGGCUACACAGUGUCUCCUUUCUUCCUCAGUACUCCAGGUGCCUCUGUUCCAAAGCAGCAUGCUCAGUUGAUAAGGAUGAAUACUUCUCGCAGAGGAGGAUGGUCCUAGGUAAAGGGAAUAUGAGUAGCUGAACUAUCCUGUUGGAUCGUCUAAGCACAUUCCCUGUUCCCACUUCCACGU